rnacentral:lncRNA from 1 species
UGAUAGGAAGCAUUGGUUCUCCACUCCCUGACACUGUAAUGUGGAGGAGCACUGACUGGUGGAAGGGUCACAAAAGUUGCAUACUCCACCAUUAUUUGACUGAGAAGCAGGAUCUAAAACAGAAAAGAAGAUGAUUUCAUUUCAGAACAGAGACCCUUAGAACAUCAGAUUGUUGUCUUUAUUUCUUUAUAUUAUUCUUUUGUCUUCAAUGAGCAACGUAGUAUUUAACUUACUUGCAGUUAUCUGUGUCGCAGCAUUGAGCAGAAGCCAGAGCACUUUGAAAACCCAGGUCGACUGAAAAUGUCUGAGAGGUUACGGCUGGACACAGGGAGGAAGAUGCACAUGCCUUGUAGAUUUGUGUUGUCGUAGUUCCAGAUGAAGUAGCUACAAAGGCAAAGUGCAGCUGGUUAAUGUUGAUGGAACACAAAUAGCUUCACAGGGGAUGUAAUUUAGUGAAAAUAUUAAAUAUGAAAUGAGAAAACAUUACCUAGAAUGGUAGCUGUAACACACAUUGUUUUCGAUGAACAUGUAUUUGCUAUUGUGUUUGAACACGUCAAAUCUGUGCAGGUUUGACACUGAAGGGCUCCAGCUGCAACCAGGAGAGAAAUACAGAAAUGAUGAUCACAAUUUAAAUAUAUAGCAAAUAUGAGAUGUUUUGAAAGUUCAUAUUAGGUUACAGCAGGUUACAGUUGAGUCAAUACUACUCACUAACUUUGGAAAAAAAAGAUUUAAAACUUUAAAUUAGACUCUCUUCUACCUGCAGGUGAAAUGAAUGUAGUUACCUGUGGUGGAGAGUGCCCAGAGAAGAAUCAGAGAAAACAGCAGCUUCAUUGUGAUGAACAGUUUGCUCUUACACGGCUCAAACAACCAAGAAAUCAUCUAAACCUCAUGAUCUACCAUCUCAAAUGUUUCAUCUCAAGAACCAUCAUGAAGCACAACUGACGCUGUAACUCUGUCAUAGUGUUGUGUUACUCUCUGAAUUUACCACACCUGCUGUUGUUAAAUGGAUGUCAUUGCCACACUCUUUUUGUAAUGUAAUAAUAGCACUAUUCAAAUCAAACAUACAGCAUGUUAUUUAUCAAGUAUGAUCAUGUGUCACACACACCUGACUUACGUAGCACUUCUUUUUGUUCUAUUAUGGACUAACGCAGAAAUAACGCAGGUUGUUUGUGAUGUACUUAAUUAAGGGUUUGGCCAUUAAAGUAAUUCUUCAGCUAAUGCCCUGGUAUGUCACCUACCUACACCCCACAGCCGAGUUAUCUUUUAAAUAUAUGCUUCUCUUUACUAUUUCUUUACUCCUUUCUGUUUUCAUGUCUUAGAUGAAACAUCUGAAACACUACUGUGUGACAAACAUGAACUAUAAAAGGAAGACUUUGACUGAAACUGCAGGGG